GACGAACGCUGGCGGCGUGCUUAACACAUGCAAGUCGAACGGAAAGGCCCUGCUUUUGUGGUGUGCUCGAGUGGCGAACGGGUGAGUAACACGUGAGUAACCUGCCCUUGACUUUGGGAUAACUUCAGGAAACUGGGGCUAAUACCGGAUAGGAGCUCCUGCUGCAUGGUGGGGGUUGGAAAGUUUCGGCGGUUGGGGAUGGACUCGCGGCUUAUCAGCUUGUUGGUGGGGUAGUGGCUUACCAAGGCUUUGACGGGUAGCCGGCCUGAGAGGGUGACCGGCCACAUGGGGACUGAGAGACGGACCAGACUCCUACGGGAGGCAGCAGUGGGGAAUAUUGCACAAUGGGCGGAAGCCGGAUGCAGCAACGCCGCGUGCGGGAUGACGGCCUUCGGGUAGUAAACCGCUUUCGCCUGUGACGAAGCGUGAGUGACGGUAAUGGGUAAAGAAGCACCGGCUAACUACGUG
rnacentral:rRNA from 1 species